CCUACGGGUGGCAGCAGUGGGGAAUAUUGCGCAAUGGGCGAAAGCCUGACGCAGCGACGCCGCGUGAGGGAUGAAGGUCUUCGGAUCGUAAACCUCUGUCAGCAGGGAAGAACGGUCACUGUGCUAAUCAGCAGUGCAUUGACUGUACCUGCAAAGGAAGCACCGGCUAACUCCGUGCCAGCAGCCGCGGUAAUACGGAGGGUGCGAGCGUUAAUCGGAAUUACUGGGCGUAAAGCGCUCGUAGGCGGUAUGUCAAGUCAAGGGUGAAAGCCCCGCGCUCAACGUGGGAACUGACUUUGAAACUGGGAAACUGGAGUGUGUGAGAGGAGGGUGGAAUUCCAGGUGGAGGAGUGAAAUCCGUAGAUAUCUGGAGGAACAUCAGGGGCGAAGGCGACCAGCUGGAACAUAACUGACGCUGAGGAGCGAAAGCGUGGGUAGCAAACAGGAUUAGAUACCCCAGUAGUC
rnacentral:rRNA from 1 species